AGUUGAAGUUGGCGAUGGAGCCCGGCUCCCGUAGGAGUCCGGGCGGAGUCCUCCUGCAAUUGAAGUUAGGUGCGAAGUCCGGCUCCCGUGGGAGUCCGGACGGAUCUUACCGGCGGUUGAUGUUGAUUAUGGAGCCCGGCUCCCGUAGGAGUUCGGGCGGAGUCUACUUGUGGUUGAAGUUGUCGGCGGAGUCCGGCUCCCGUAGGAGUCCGGACGAAGUCUGUCUGCAGCCGUUGG
rnacentral:lncRNA from 1 species